CUGAGUACGACGGAGCACGUGAAAUUCCGUCGGAAUCUGGGAGGACCAUCUCCUAAGGCUAAAUACUCUCUAGUGACCGAUAGUGAACCAGUACCGUGAGGGAAAGGUGAAAAGCACCCCGGAAGGGGAGUGAAAUAGAACCUGAAACCGUGUGCUUACAAGUAGUCAGAGCCCGUUAAUGGGUGAUGGCGUGCCUUUUGUAGAAUGAACCGGCGAGUUACGAUUUGAUGCAAGGUUAAGCAGUAAAUGUGGAGCCGUAGCGAAAGCGAGUCUGAAUAGGGCGUUUAGUAUUUGGUCGUAGACCCGAAACCAGGUGAUCUACCCUUGGUCAGGUUGAAGUUCAGGUAACACUGAAUGGAGGACCGAACCGACUUACGUUGAAAAGUGAGCGGAUGAACUGAGGGUAGCGGAGAAAUUCCAAUCGAACCUGGAGAUAGCUGGUUCUCUCCGAAAUAGCUUUAGGGCUAGCCUCAAGUGAUGAUUAUUGGAGGUAGAGCACUGUUUGGACGAGGGGCCCCUCUCGGGUUACCGAAUUCAGACAAACUCCGAAUGCCAAUUAAUUUAACUUGGGAGUCAGAACAUGGGUGAUAAGGUCCGUGUUCGAAAGGGAAACAGCCCAGACCACCAGCUAAGGUCCCAAAAUAUAUGUUAAGUGGAAAAGGAUGUGGCGUUGCCCAGACAACUAGGAUGUUGGCUUAGAAGCAGCCAUCAUUUAAAGAGUGCGUAAUAGCUCACUAGUCGAGUGACACUGCGCCGAAAAUGUACCGGGGCUAAACAUAUUACCGAAGCUGUGGAUUGUCCUUUGGACAAUGGUAGGAGAGCGUUCUAAGGGCGUUGAAGCAUGAUCGUAAGGACAUGUGGAGCGCUUAGAAGUGAGAAUGCCGGUGUGAGUAGCGAAAGACGGGUGAGAAUCCCGUCCACCGAUUGACUAAGGUUUCCAGAGGAAGGCUCGUCCGCUCUGGGUUAGUCGGGUCCUAAGCUGAGGCCGACAGGCGUAGGCGAUGGAUAACAGGUUGAUAUUCCUGUACCACCUAUA
rnacentral:rRNA from 1 species